GUGUUCUCUUUGAUAGCACAUAUUCUAAAAUUAGAACAAUACAGAGAUUAGCCUAGCCCCGGGCAAGGCUGACAAGCAGAUUCAUGAAGCAUUCCAUAUUUAA